CGGGUGAGUAACGCGUGGGAACGUACCCCAAGGUUCGGAAUAACGAUUGGAAACGAUCGCUAAUACCGGAUAAGCUCGAAAGAGGAAAGGUUUACUGCCUUGGGAGCGGCCCGCGUUAGAUUAGGUAGUUGGUGGGGUAAAGGCCUACCAAGCCUACGAUCUAUAGCUGGUCUGAGAGGAUGAUCAGCCACACUGGGACUGAGACACGGCCCAGACUCCUACGGGAGGCAGCAGUGGGGAAUAUUGGACAAUGGGGGAAACCCUGAUCCAGCAAUGCCGCGUGAGUGAUGAAGGCCUUCGGGUUGUAAAGCUCUUUUACCUACGACGAUAAUGACGGUAGUAGGGGAAUAAGCCCCGGCUAACUUCGUGCCAGCAGCCGCGGUAAUACGAAGGGGGCUAGCGUUGUUCGGAAUUACUGGGCGUAAAGGGCGCGUAGGCGGCUCUGUAAGUCUGAUGUGAAAGACCUGGGCUUAACCUGGGAACUGCAUUGGAUACUAUAGAGCUAGAGGGUGUGAGAGGAAAGUGGAAUGACGAGUGUAGAGGUGAAAUUCGUAGAUAUUCGUUGGAACACCAGAGGCGAAGGCGGCUUUCUGGCACACUACUGACGCUAAGGCGCGAAAGC
rnacentral:rRNA from 1 species